UACAGAGGUCCCAAACGUUGUUCGGAUUCAUUGGGCGUAAAGGGUGCGUAGGUGGCGCUGUAAGUCGGGUGUGAAAUUUCGGAGCUUAACUCCGAAACUGCAUUCGAUACUGCGGUGCUUGAGGACUGGAGAGGAGACUGGAAUUCAUGGUGUAGCAGUGAAAUGCGUAGAGAUCAUGAGGAAGACCAGUGGCGAAGGCGGGUCUCUGGACAGUUCCUGACACUGAGGCACGAAGGUCAGGGGAGCAAACGGG
rnacentral:rRNA from 1 species